AGUGAACGCUGGCGGUAGGCCUAACACAUGCAAGUCGAACGGCAGCACAGUAAGAGCUUGCUCUUACGGGUGGCGAGUGGCGGACGGGUGAGGAAUACAUCGGAAUCUACUUUUUCGUGGGGGAUAACAUAGGGAAACUUACGCUAAUACCGCAUACGACCUACGGGUGAAAGCAGGGGAUCUUCGGACCUUGCGCGAUUGAAUGAGCCGAUGUCGGAUUAGCUAGUUGGCGGGGUAAAGGCCCACCAAGGCGACGAUCCGUAGCUGGUCUGAGAGGAUGAUCAGCCACACUGGAACUGAGACACGGUCCAGACUCCUACGGGAGGCAGCAGUGGGGAAUAUUGGACAAUGGGCGCAAGCCUGAUCCAGCCAUACCGCGUGGGUGAAGAAGGCCUUCGGGUUGUAAAGCCCUUUUGUUGGGAAAGAAAAGCAGUAGGUUAAUACCCCGCUGUUCUGACGGUACCCAAAGAAUAAGCACCGGCUAACUUCGUG
rnacentral:rRNA from 1 species